rnacentral:rRNA from 1 species
ACUCAAAGGAAUAGACGGGGGCCCGCACAAGCGGUGGAGCAUGUGGUUUAAUUCGACGCAACGCGAAGAACCUUACCAAGGCUUGACAUGGAAACGGCCGGCACAGAGAUGUGCCUUCCCCUUCGGGGGCGUUUCACACAGGUGGUGCAUGGUUGUCGUCAGCUCGUGUCGUGAGAUGUUGGGUUAAGUCCCGCAACGAGCGCAACCCUUAUGUUUAGUAGCUACCGGGUAAAGCCGGGCACACUAAAGAGACUGCCGUGGAGAACACGGAGGAAGGUGGGGACGACGUCAAAUCAUCAUGCCCCUUAUGUCUUGGGCUACACACGUGCUACAAUGGCUGAAACAAAAUGACGCAAGACGGUGACGUGGAGCGAAUCAUAUAAAAACAGCCUCAGUUCGGAUUGCAGUCUGCAACUCGACUGCAUGAAGUUGGAAUCGCUAGUAAUCGCGAAUCAGCAUGUCGCGGUGAAUACGUUCCCGGGCCUUGUACACACCGCCCGU